rnacentral:rRNA from 1 species
AAUGAACGCUGGCGGCGCGCCUAAUACAUGCAAGUCGAGCGAGAAGACGUAGCAAUACGUUUGUAAAGCGGCGAACGGGUGAGGAAUACAUGGGUAACCUACCCUCGAGUGGGGAAUAACCAGCCGAAAGGUUAGCUAAUACCGCGUACGCUUCUUGGACUUCGGUUCAGGGAGGAAAGCGAUGCCGAGGUAUCGCGCUCUUGGAUGGGCUCAUGUCCUAUCAGUCUUGGUUGGNGAGGUAACGGCUCACCAAGGCUUCGACGGGUAGCUGGUCUGAGAGGACGAUCAGCCACACUGG